GGAAUAUUGCACAAUGGGCGAAAGCCUGAUGCAGCGACGCCGCGUGAGUGAAGAAGUAUUUCGGUAUGUAAAGCUCUAUCAGCAGGGAAGAAAAUGACGGUACCUGACUAAGAAGCCCCGGCUAACUACGUGCCAGCAGCCGCGGUAAUACGUAGGGGGCAAGCGUUAUCCGGAUUUACUGGGUGUAAAGGGAGCGUAGACGGCGAAGCAAGUCUGAAGUGAACACCUAGGGCUCAACCCUGGGACUGCUUUGGACACUGUUUUGCUAGAGUGUAAGAGAGGUAAGUGGAAUUCCUAGUGUAGCGGUGAAAUGCGUAGAUAUUAGGAGAAACACCAGUGGCGAAGGCGGCUUACUGGGCGAUAACUGACGUUGAGGCUCGAAAGCGUGGGGAGCAAACA
rnacentral:rRNA from 1 species